rnacentral:rRNA from 1 species
AAUGAACGCUGGCGGCGUGCCUAACACAUGCAAGUCGUACGAGAAAGGGGCUUCGGCCCUGAGUAGAGUGGCGCACGGGUGAGUAACGCGUGGGUAAUCUACCCUUGGAUUUGGGAUAACUCUGCGAAAGUGGAGCUAAUACCGGAUAGUCUGGCUUUAAAUAAGAAGUCGGUAAAGGAUGCCUCUGCAUAUGCAUUCGUCCGAGGAUGAGCCCGCGUCUCAUUAGCUAGUUGGUAGGGUAAUGGCCUACCAAGGCAACGAUGAGUAGCUGGUCUGAGAGGAUGAUCAGCCACACUGGAACUGAAACACGGUCCAGACUCCUACGGGAGGCAGCAGUGGGGAAUAUUGCGCAAUGGGCGAAAGCCUGACGCAGCAACGCCGUGUGAGGGAUGAAGGCUUUCGGGUCGUAAACCUCUGUCGGAAGGGAAGAACGGGUGGUGGUCUAAUAGGCCUCCAUUUUGACGGUACCUUUAGAGGAAGCACCGGCUAACUCCGUGCCAGCAGCCGCGGUAAUACGGAGGGUGCAAGCGUUAUUCGGAAUUACUGGGCGUAAAGCGCACGUAGGCGGCCUUGUAAGUCAGGGGUGAAAUCCCACGGCUCAACCGUGGAACUGCCUUUGAAACUGCAGGGCUUGAAUCCUGGAGAGGGUGGCGGAAUUCCUGGUGUAGGAGUGAAAUCCGUAGAUAUCAGGAGGAACACCGGUGGCGAAGGCGGCCACCUGGACAGGUAUUGACGCUGAGGUGCGAAAGUGUGGGGAGCAAACA